AGCGCGCUCCUCAACGUGAAACA
rnacentral:siRNA from 1 species